rnacentral:rRNA from 1 species
AUUGAACGCUGGCGGCGUGCCUAAUACAUGCAAGUCGAACGCAGUGGGGACGGGUGAGUAACACGUGGGUAACCGCCCAUCAGAGGGGAUAACACUUGGAAACAGGUGCUAAACCCAAAUGGGUGUAUGGAGCCGCGUUGCAUUUGCUAGUAUGUGAGGUAACGGCUUACCAAGGCGACGAGGCAUAGCUGGGCGGAGAGGGUGACCGGCCACACUGGAACUGAGACACGGCCCAGACUCCUACGGGAGGCAGCAGUAGGGAAUCUUCGGCAAUGGACGCAAGUCUGACGGAGCAACGCCGCGUGUGUGAAGAAGGUGUUCGGAUCGUAAAACUCUUUCGUUGGGGAAGCGGUAUCUACCCAAGAAGCCACGGCUAACUACGUGCCAGCAGCCGCGGUAAUUC